rnacentral:rRNA from 1 species
GACGAACGCUGGCGGCGUGCUUAACACAUGCAAGUCGAACGAUGAAGCCCAGCUUGCUGGGUGGAUUAGUGGCGAACGGGUGAGUAACACGUGGGCAACCUGCCCCAAACUCUGGGAUAACUCCUCGAAAGAGGUGCUAAUACCGGAUACGAACUAGACAGACAUCUGUACCAGUUGGAAAGUUUUUCGGUUUGGGAUGGGCCCGCGGCCUAUCAGCUUGUUGGUGAGGUAACGGCUCACCAAGGCUACGACGGGUAACCGGCCUGAGAGGGCGACCGGUCACACUGGGACUGAGACACGGCCCAGACUCCUACGGGAGGCAGCAGUGGGGAAUAUUGCGCAAUGGGCGAAAGCCUGACGCAGCGACGCCGCGUGAGGGAUGAAGGUCUUCGGAUCGUAAACCUCUUUCUGUAGGGACGAAGCGAAAGUGACGGUACCUAAAGAAGAAGCACCGGCUAACUACGUGCCAGCCGCCGCAGUAA